rnacentral:rRNA from 1 species
GAAUAUUGGACAAUGGGGGGAACCCUGAUCCAGCCAUGCCGCGUGUGUGACGAAGGCCUUUUGGUUGUAAAGCACUUUAAGCGAGGAGGAGGCUACUGAGAUUAAUACUCUAGGAUUGUGGACGUUACUCGCAGAAUAAGCACCGGCGAACUCUGUCCCAGCAGCCGCGGUAAUACAGAGGGUGCAAGCGUUAAGCGGAUUUACUGGGCGUAAAGCGCGCGUAGGUGGCCAAUUAAGUCAAAUGUGAAAUCCCCGAGCUUAACUUGGGAAUUGCAUUCGAUACUGGUUGGCUAGAGUAUGGGAGAGGAUGGUAGAAUUCCAGGUGUAGCGGUGAAAUGCGUAGAGAUCUGGGGGAAUACCGAUGGCGAAGGCAGGCAUCUGGCCUACUACUGACACUGAGGUGCGAAAGAAUGGGGAGCAAACA